AAUCAACGCUGGCGGCGUGCCUCAGACAUGCAAGUCGAACGAUUAAAGCUCUCUUCGGAGAGUGCAUAGAGUGGCGCACGGGUGAGUAACACGUAAGUAAUCUACCUUCGAGUGGGGAAUAACGUCCGGAAACGGACGCUAAUACCGCAUAAUGCAGCGGCAUCGUAAGAUGACAGUUGUUAAAGAUUUAUCGCUUGAAGAGGAGCUUGCGGCAGAUUAGCUAGUUGGUAAGGUAAUGGCUUACCAAGGCUACGAUCUGUAACCGGUCUUAGAGGACGGUCGGUCACACUGACACUGAAUAACGGGUCAGACUCCUACGGGAGGCAGCAGUCGGGAAUUUUGGGCAAUGGGCGAAAGCCUGACCCAGCAACGCCGCGUGAAGGAUGAAGUAUUUCGGUAUGUAAACUUCGAAAGAAUAGGAAGAAUAAAUGACGGUACUAUUAUAAGGUCCGGCUAACCACGUGCCAGCAGCCGCGGUAAU
rnacentral:rRNA from 1 species